rnacentral:lncRNA from 1 species
AUGUCGGGAUUUGAGAUUUGGGAUUUGGAAUUUGGGAUAAUUGGGAAUUGUGUCGGGAUUUGGGAAUUGGGAAUUGGGAAUGGGGAAUUGUUUUGUUGGGAUUUGGGAAUUGUGCCGGGAAUUGGGAAUUGGAAAUUGUGCUGGGAAUUGGGAUUUGGGAUUUGGGAAUUGGGAAUUCUGUCCCUGGUUGUGAUGGGAUUUGGGAAUUGGGAAUUGGGAAUUGGGAAUUGGGAAUUCUGUCCCUGGUUGUGCCGGAAUUUGGGAUUUGGGAUUUGGGAUUUGGGAAUUGGGAAUUGUGCCGGGAUUUGGGAUUUGGGAAUGGGGAAUUGGGAAUUGGGAAUUGUGCUGGUUGGGAAUUGUGCUGGGAAUUGGGAUUUGGGAUUUGGGAAUUGGGAAUUGAGUUGGGAUUUAGGAUUUGGGAUUUGGGAAUUGUGCCAGGAAUUGGGAUUUGGGAAUUGGGAAUUGGGAAUUGGGAAUUGGGAAUUGGGAAUUGUGCUGGGAUUUGGGAUUUGGGAUUUGGGAAUUGGGAAUUCUGUCCCUGGUUGUGUCGGGAUUUGGGAUUUGGGAAUUGGGAAUUGGGAAUUGUGCUGGGAAGUGGGAUUUGGGAAUUGUGUUGGGAUUUGGGAAUUGGGAAUUGUGCCGGCAAUUGGGAAUUAUGUCGGGAUUUGGGAAUUGGGAAUGGGGAAUUCUGUCCCUGGUUGUGAUGGGAUUUGGGAUUUGGGAGUUGGGAUUUGGGAAUUGGGAAUUGUGCUGGGAAUUGGGAAUUAUGUCGGGAUUUGGGAUUUGGGAAUUUGGAUUUGGGAUUUGGGAAUUUUGAAUUGGGAAUUGGGAAUUGUGUCCCUGGUUGUGCCGGGAUUUGGGAUUUGGGAUUUGGGAUUUGGGAUUUGGGAAUUGUGUUGGGAUUUGGGAAUUGUGCCGGGAUUUGGGAUUUGGGAUUUGGGAUUUGGGAAUUGGGAAUUGGGAAUUGUGUCCGUGUCCCUGUCGGGAUUUGGGAAUUGUGCUGGGAUUUAG